GCGGUGGCGGUGGGAGAUCCCGCAGCGGUAUCGCACGGGAGCCCGGGGUCCGCCUCUGCCCGCGGCACUGGGGUUCCUGCACCUGGCACCAGCACCCAGCCUGACAGGGUCCCCCAGGGAUGCCCCUCUAGCCUCAAACAGCUCUGUGGCCCCAGGGACACUCCUGUGUCCCCCGGUGCCCCCAAAGCUGCCCUCGUGUCCCGCUAUGACCCUGUACGCCCAAGGAUGUCCCUGUGUGCCCAGCUGGACAAAAUCCCAUGUGAGCCCCCAUCUGCCCUUCCAAGGCCUGACCCCCCAUCCGGGGUGCCUUUCAGGAGGGGCCACAUCCCCUCCCUUCUCUGUGGGGCUGGGGGGCACAUCCAGGAGCCCCCUGUGCUGUCUUGGUGCUCACUCUGAGCAUCCCCAGCCCUGGCAGUGUGACAGCCUGGCAGUGCCAUGGGUGUGGUGGGUGCUGGGGGGCAGCCCCAGGGUGGUGCUGGGGAAGCCUCGGGGGAAGGGGAUCCAGCUCCUGCCCAGGGAAGGGACGUUCUCCAUCAGGGACAGGAUCCUCUGCUCCCGGGGCGCACCCCUCAGGGUAGGGCAGUGUGGGUGCCCAGAGCUGGGUCCCCAGGAGCACCGGGCAAGUCUGACCCCAUCCUCAUGUCCCUACAACCCUCCUGCCACACUGGCCACCACAGCCGGGUGAGAAUGUGGCACCCCGAAGGGACGGCACCCUGUUUUGGGGGGACAGGUGUGCUCCGAGGGGACGCGUUUGUCUGCCUGGCAGGGAAGGGGUUAAGGCCGGGCGGGUUUUGGGGUGCCGGGGUGUCCCCAGCUGGGUACACCCAGGCUGCUCCUCGCACGGGUGACCUCACGCCACUGCCAUGGCAACGGCUCGUGAAGUCACGGCGAGCGGGGCGGCUGCUGCGAGCCGGGGCUGCGGGGACGGCAGCGCCGCGUCCCCCCCGCUCCGUGCCCCAGCAUGAGCCCUGUCCCCGGCAGCGCCCUCGCCUCCGCCUGACCCCCGCGCUGCCCGCCGUGCCCGUGGCACCCCGGCCGAGGCGUCACCAUGCUGGUCAAGGAGUACCGCAUCUGCAUGCCGCUCACCACCGAGGAGUACCGCGUGGGGCAGCUCUACACCAUCAGCAAGCACAGCCACCAGGAGAGCGAGAAGGGCGAGGGCGUGGAGGUGGUGAAGAACGAGCCCCACGAGGACCCCGUGCACGGCCCCGGGCAGUUCACUGAGAAGCGAGUCCACCUCUCCAGCAAACUGCCGAGCUGGGCACGGGCAGUGACCCCCCGCAUCUUCUACAUCACCGAGAAGGCCUGGAACUACUACCCCUACACCAUCACAGGUGAGCCUGGGCAGGGCCACAGGCACCCCGGGCACCCUGUCCCUGCCCACUGGGGGGGCUGCAGGAGCUGCCCCCGGUCUCACUGCUCCCUCUCUCCCCUGUGACAUCACCCGGUGAUGCCCCCCUGUGAUGCCAAUGUGCCAUGGUGUCCCUGCAGAGUACACGGUAAGGGGCUGCCAUGGCAUGACCUGUGCCCUCCCCCAGCAGGUGGCUGGGGAGGGGGCGCUGGGGGGGCAUUUUUGGGGGUGGGUGUCCUUUGGG
rnacentral:lncRNA from 14 species